rnacentral:rRNA from 1 species
UACGGGGGGGGUAAGCGUUGUUCGGAAUUACUGGGCGUAAAGGGCUCGUAGGCGGCCAACUAAGUCAGACGUGAAAUCCCUCAGCUUAACUGGGGAACUGCGUCUGAUACUGGAUGGCUUGGAUUCGGGAGAGGAAUGCGGAAUUCCAGGUGUAGCGGUGAAAUGCGUAGAUAUCAGGAGGAACACCGGUGGCGAAGGCGGCUCUCUGGUCCGUUUCUGACGCUGAUGUGCGAAAGCUAGGGUAGCGAACGGG